rnacentral:rRNA from 1 species
CAGUCGCCGCGGUAAUACGAAGGGUGCAAGCGUUAAUCGGAAUUACUGGCGUAAAGCGUGCGUAGGCGGUGAGUUAAGUCUGCUGUGAAAUCCCCGGGCUCAACCUGGGAAUGGCAAUGGAUACUGGCAAGCUAGAGUGUGUCAGAGGAUGGUGGAAUUCCCGGUGUAGCGGUGAAAUGCGUAGAGAUCGGGAGGAACAUCAGUGGCGAAGGCGGCCAUCUGGGACAACACUGACGCUGAGGCACGAAAGCGUGGGGAGCAAACAGGAUUAGAUACCCGAGUAGUCCCUGUCUCUUAUACA